GAUGAACGCUGGCGGCGUGCUUAACACAUGCAAGUCGAACGAUUAAGACCCCUUCGGGGGUGUAUAGAGUGGCGAACGGGUGAGUAACACGUGGGCAACCUGCCCCUUCCUCUGGGAUAACACGGAGAAAUCCGUGCUAAUACCGGAUACUCCAUAUCUGCGGCAUCGCGGAUAUGGGAAAGCUCCGACGGGAAGGGAUGGGCCCGCGGUCCAUUAGCUAGUCGGUGGGGUAACGGCCUACCGAGGCGACGAUGGAUAGCCGGGUUGAGAGACCGACCGGCCACAUUGGGACUGAGACACGGCCCAGACUCCUACGGGAGGCAGCAGUGGGGGAUUUUGCGCAAUGGGGGAAACCCUGACGCAGCAACGCCGCGUGCGGGAUGAAGGCCUUCGGGUUGUAAACCGCUUUCAGCAGGGAAGAAUACAGACGGUACCUGCAGAAGAAGCUCCGGCUAACUACGUGCCAGCCGCCGCAGUAAAAC
rnacentral:rRNA from 1 species